CCCAACUAUCCCUAUUAAUCAUUACGGUGAUCCUAGAAACCAACAAAAUAAGAUCAAACGUCCUAUUUCAUUAUUCCAUGCUAAUGUAUUUAAGCGCGAGCCUUCUUUAAACACUAAUUUUUUCAAAGUAACAGUCCUGAUUCCACGUCACACUAAAUUAAUGGCAUGACGAUUCGUCAGAAGGAAGGAAUCAGUGACACUAGUACAUACCGAAGCAUGACCAGUGUACUGAUUCCGAAAUUCAACUACAAGCUUUUUAACUGCAACAACUUUAAUAUACGCUAUUGGAGCUGGAAUUACCGCGGCUGCUGGCACCAGACUUGCCCUCCAA
rnacentral:misc_RNA from 1 species